rnacentral:rRNA from 1 species
GAUGAACGCUAGCGGCAGGCCUAACACAUGCAAGUCGAGGGAGAAGCCCUUCGGGGCAGAAACCGGCGCACGGGUGCGUAACGCGUAUGCAACCUACCUUUCACAGGGGGAUAGCCCGAAGAAAUUUGGAUUAAUACCCCAUAAUAUUAUUGGAUGGCAUCAUUUGAUAAUUAAAAUUACGAUGGUGGAAGAUGGGCAUGCGUCCUAUUAGCUAGUUGGAGUGGUAACGGCACCCCAAGGCUACGAUAGGUAGGGGUCCUGAGAGGGAGAUCCCCCACACUGGUACUGAGACAGGGACCAGACUCCUACGGGAGGCAGCAGUGAGGAAUAUUGGUCAAUGGUCGGAAGACUGAACCAGCCAUGCCGCGUGCAGGAAGAAUGCCUUAUGGGUUGUAAACUGCUUUUAUAUGGGAAGAAUAAGGCGUACG